UGCUUGGUGGCUAUAGCGUCUGUGACCCACUCGAUCCCAUCUCGAACUCGAACGUGAAACCAGACUGCGCCGAUGGUACUAUCGUCUAAGCGAUGGAAGAGUAGGUCGUCGCCAGGCAU
rnacentral:rRNA from 1 species